UACGUAGGGGGCUAGCGUUGUCCGGAAUCAUUGGGCGUAAAGCGCGCGUAGGCGGCCCGGUAAGUCCGCUGUAAAAGUCCAGGGCUCAACCCUGGAACGCCGGUGGAUACUGUCGGGCUAGAGUCCGGAAGAGGCGAGUGGAAUUCCUGGUGUAGCGGUGGAAUGCGUAGAGAUCCGGAAGAACACCGGUGGCGAAGGCGGCCUGCUGGGACGUGGCUGACGCUGAGGCGCGACAGCGUGGGGGAGCAAACAGG
rnacentral:rRNA from 1 species